rnacentral:rRNA from 1 species
AUGGGCGCAAGCCUGAUGCAGCGACGCCGCGUGAGGGAUGACGGCCUUCGGGUUGUAAACCUCUUUCAGUAGGGAAGAAGCGAAAGUGACGGUACCUGCAGAAGAAGCGCCGGCUAACUACGUGCCAGCAGCCGCGGUAAUACGUAGGGCGCAAGCGUUAUCCGGAAUUAUUGGGCGUAAAGAGCUCGUAGGCGGUUUGUCGCGUCUGCCGUGAAAGUCCGGGGCUCAACUCCGGAUCUGCGGUGGGUACGGGCAGACUAGAGUGAUGUAGGGGAGACUGGAAUUCCUGGUGUAGCGGUGAAAUGCGCAGAUAUCAGGAGGAACACCGAUGGCGAAGGCAGGUCUCUGGGCAUUAACUGACGCUGAGGAGCGAAAGCAUGGGGAGCGAACAGGAUUAGAUACCCUGGUAGUCCAUGCCGUAAACGUUGGGCACUAGGUGUGGGGGACAUUCCACGUUUUCCGCGCCGUAGCUAACGCAUUAAGUGCCCCGCCUGGGGAGUACGGCCGCAAGGCUAAAACUCAAAGGAAUUGACGGGGGCCCGCACAAGCGGCGGAGCAUGCGGAUUAAUUCGAUGCAACGCGAAGAACCUUACCAAGGCUUGACAUGGACCGGACCGCCGCAGAAAUGUGGUUUCCCCUUUGGGGCCGGUUUACAGGUGGUGCAUGGUUGUCGUCAGCUCGUGUCGUGAGAUGUUGGGUUAAGUCCCGCAACGAGCGCAACCCUCGUUCUAUGUUGCCAGCGGUUCGGCCGGGGACUCAUAGGAGACUGCCGGGGUCAACUCGGAGGAAGGUGGGGACGACGUCAAAUCAUCAUGCCCCUUAUGUCUUGGGCUUCACGCAUGCUACAAUGGCCGGUACAAAGGGUUGCGAUACUGUGAGGUGGAGCUAAUCCCAAAAAGCCGGUCUCAGUUCGGAUUGGGGUCUGCAACUCGACCCCAUGAAGUCGGAGUCGCUAGUAAUCGCAGAUCAGCAACGCUGCGGUGAAUACGUUCCCGGGCCUUGUACACACCGCCCGUCAAGUCACGAAAGUUGGUAACACCCGAAGCCGGUGGCCUAACCCCUUGUGGGAGG